rnacentral:lncRNA from 1 species
CUAGGAAAGAAGAAAAAAAGGAACAAUCAUAAAGAAGUAAUAGUCUGUAAUCUUGUACUAUUUAUAUUGCAUAUUAUAAGGAGUAAGGAAUCACGGAUCUGGGGUACUGAGUCUAUUUCGAAAGGACUCAUUGACUUUUGGCACGUUAAUGAAUCAUAUUCGUGGCCUUAGUCGAGGAUUGAAGAAAUGGAAAAAACACUCAUCGAUAGAAAGAAAGGAAUAUUUAUUGAUGAAUCAUUAUUCAUAGCUCCUGUCCGAAGAUGGUGGAUAACCUCUUAUUUCUUUAACGUAUCGACUUUUACUAUCAACGAGAUCAAAUAGCACACGAAGGUGCAUAUCUUUUCUUGGAUUCAUCUCACUUGGUCUUAUUCUGGUCCAGGGAGUACCUUAUACAGAGAGAGUGCACGUCUUUUACAUAUGUUGACUUAAACAAUCAUCCUAAGUUUAUCUACAUGGCAAAGAAAACUGCUUGAUUUGAUAAAAGAUUAUAGGUAUUCAUCUUAUUAAUUAUUUGACUAAACGACUUUUUAUUUGGGAAUCUAUCUCAUGUAUUCAUGAACAACGUUCGUUUGCCGAGAGGAAUCCAUAUAUUCGUCUCCUCGCCUCUUCAUUUGUUAAUGACUCUUAAACAAGGUUCGACUGGCUCUCAUCAUCAUUUAAUAUUUUAGAUGAUGAUCGGAAAGAAGUUCAACCCUCGGAGUAUGCUUUUUAGUGACCAAGGACGGACUCACGAAGAUAUGGUAGAGCUCAUAUCGUUUUGUAUUGUGAUCUUUCAAGUCUCACAUGAAUAAAUAUAAUAUAGACUUAAAUCAAUUCAUGAAUUAGUUCUUGACCUUAGAGUGAUACUGAUGGAUGAUGAACUAAAGGGAUGUUCGAUAAAGUAUCUACUAAAUAAUAAUUGUUUCCUCCAUUUAAAGAUUUGUUAAACCAUUUCUCACUUCACACACUGAGUAACAAUGAUAUCAUAUGAUGGAUAAGAAUGGGAUAUCCAUAUUACACGUAAAUGAAUCAUCGUAGUGGGCUUAGUUGAGGCUUGAAGUAAUGGAGGAAGCUCUAUCGAUAGAAAGAAAGGAAUAUUUAUUGAUGAAUCAUAGCUCCUUCCGAAGACGUUAUUUUGAUAUUACUACAGAUUCUUUUAUUCCUUG